rnacentral:misc_RNA from 1 species
ACUGUAACUCUCCGCCUUGAGUACGCUCCUCUUUUAAUCUUUUAACAGCAACUAAAGAGCCAUCAGCCAGCCUGCCCUUGUAAACCUUGCCAAAUCCUCCUCUUCCGAGUAUAUUUUUGUUGCUAAAAUUGUCAGUUGCAACUUGUAAUUCGCGCAAGGAGAACCUCUUGAGUUGUCCAAGAUGAACUUCUGGAUCCUCCUCAGCUGGAACAUCAAAGAAGUGGUCUUCCGGUUUCCUUCGACGCCACCAAGCAAGCAAAAUCGCAGGAGCUGCAAACAGAAGAGCA